rnacentral:rRNA from 1 species
CCUACGGGAGGCAGCAGUGAGGAAUAUUGGUCAAUGGGCUUAAGCCUGAACCAGCCAAGUCGCGUGAGGGAAGACUGCCCUAUGGGUUGUAAACCUCUUUUGUCAGGGAGCAAGUGGUGCUACGUGUAGCGUUAUCGAGAGUACCUGAAGAAAAAGCAGCGGCUAACUCCGUGCCAGCAGCCGCGGUAAUACGGAGGAUGCGAGCGUUAUCAGGAUUGAUUGGGUUUAAAGGGUGCGUAGGCGGAAUGCCAAGGCAGCGGUAAAAUCGCGGGGCUCAACCUCGCUCCGCCGUUGAAACUGGCGUUCUUGAGUGUGCGUGACGUAUGCGGACUGCGUGGUGUAGCGGU